ensembl:snoRNA
UUCAUCUCUGUAUUUUCCUAAAACCAUAAUGUUAUUGCUGUCAUUGAAAAGUAUAGAAGAGGUGCAAAAAUAAAUCCUCUUUUGCAACCCAGAACUCAUUGUUGUAUGAGUUUUGAUACAUGUAAGAAGGAAUAUU